rnacentral:rRNA from 1 species
AGGAUGAACGCUGGCGGCGUGCCUAAUACAUGCAAGUCGAGCGGUAAGGCCUCUUCGGAGGUACACGAGCGGCGGACGGCUGAGUAACACGUAGGAACGUACCCCAAAGUGAGGGAUAAGCUCUGGAAACAGAGUCUAAUACCGCAUGUGGUCCAAGGAUUAAAGCUUCGGCGCUUUGGGAACGGCCUGCGUCCGAUUAGCUUGUUGGUGAGGUAAAAGCUUACCAAGGCGACGAUCGGUAGCUGGUCUGAGAGGAUGAUCAGCCAGACUGGGACUGAGACACGGCCCAGACUCCUACGGGAGGCAGCAGUAGGGAAUUUUCCACAAUGGGCGAAAGCCUGAUGGAGCAACGCCGCGUGCAGGAUGAAUGCCUUAGGGUUGUAAACUGCUUUUAUAUGUGACGAUUAUGACUGUAGCAUAUGAAUAAGGAUCGGCUAACUCCGUGCCAGCAGCCGC